CUGUAGCAGAAAGUUUUCCUCCAUUGAAGGAGCGACGCGUAGGCUAAUUUUACUGUAGAUGGCUGCCUCUUCUUUUUUACUUUCCAUUUUUUCUUGAUAGUUCGUUCCGUGUAACCGGCUCCCACCGGUUAAUUCUCUCUUUUUUUUCAUGGUGCCCGCUUGCCCACUUCCCCUUGAUUACCGGUUUCUACUCUCCAGAUAUACUUUCCAUUAGCACCGCUUUUGGCUCGAUCUAGAAAAUUCCCGUCUGAUCUAUCAUCCAUACCAUCUCCACGAGGCCAUGGGCAGCUUCUACAGCCUCUUCCUCCAUGCCCUAGCUGAGUUGUCCAAUCCCCAAGGGUGCCGCCCACUGCUGCCGCCAGGGGGUGACCAGACCACCGCCUAAUCUCCACGGCCACCGCCAUGGGGGGCGACCAGCCACCGCUGGAGUGGUCCGGCGGCCAGCGACAGCGUCUCCGGCGCACGGGUCAACCGCCAAGCUCUAUUUUCGUCGCCCCCCCCCCCCCCCCCCAUACCUCAACCAAACACCUAUCCGACGCUUUCCCUGCCCGAGCUCACCCCGGCCAGGCUCCUCAGCCACUGGCGGCCAUGGCCUGAGAAGGAUCCUCCACCGUCGAUGUGCAUCUUUGUUGUCCCCUACCCUGCAUAAGGUUUUUCUCCCCGCUCCUUCGACGUGGUUGGUCAGGGCGCCUCCCCUUCUUUUUGUUGACGGUCGUGCACAUAUGGCCAACCUGCUCAUACUGGUUCCCAGUGUAAUUCUUUGACAUGAGUGGACAUCCACGUCUUGGUGAUAUGCAAAGCUUCUUCAGAAAUUUUAAUCUUCUUACUGUAAACAAGAUUAGUGGACAUGUAGCUUCUUAGGCGCUUCAAGGCGAUAGCCGCCUAUGGUGGAUCGACAAAAGGCAAUGAGCCCGAGGAUUAGUGGACAUAUAGCUUCUUAGGCGCUUCAAGGCGAUAGCCGCCUAUGGUGGAUCGACAAAAGGCAAUGAGCCCGAGGAUUAGUGGACAUAUAGCUUCUUAGGCGCUUCAAGGCGAUAGCCGCCUAUGGUGGAUCGACAAAAGGCAAUGAGCCCGAAGCCGUAUUCUCUAACCUUCAAAGCGCUGCUGAAGCCAUCGAUGGCCCCGUCGGUGGCCUGCAACUGCACACGCCCACGGCGAAACACACACAUCAGCGUGCGAUUGAUACAGUAGAUAUGCUGGCAGUGGACUCUGCCGGCACCCACCGACUGCCUGCUGUUAUGCUUAUGCACGUACCUUCAACUCCUCUACCUAGCCACCACCCACCCUGCACCGUAAUCAGGUGGGGAGUGAUGUUUUUCGUUCUUUCUGCAAGGCAAAAUUUCUUAUGAAAGAGGAGAGUACAAAAUGUGAUCGCACUGAUCCCAUAACAGAGAAGAAAACAGGGAGGUUGGACUGUAUAAGCGGCUGAGAUAGCCGAAAGCAGACAGUCAUCGCCACGGACCUGUCGCCCUCCGACACCCAACCUUUUCUAUUUGGCUCUUAGUUAUUGAUAACAGAUUAAGUGGAGAAAUUUAUCAAUGAUGUCUUUUCACAGCAUCUCCUCUUAAUCAAGUGGCUUUAUCUACUGCAUUCUCUGUCUAGAAACUAGCUGCAGCCAAGUAUUUCAUUCAGUAGAAACAUAUUUAACUGUGUUUCCACCUUAAGAAUGGCUACUUGGUAAUGUAACUGUAGUAAAUUAUUAAUAUCAUGCGUCUCCCUAAUAAGAAACUUACUAAUCAGACACCAAUUAUAGAUAGACAUACCUGUAAAUCCUGUAGAUUGUACACCUUCAGGCCUUGGAUUUUUAUUUUGCAGAGGUAACUUCAUGUUUAGGCUUCAGGACAUGCUAAGUAUUUUUUACCCACAACAGAUCAUUUCAUCGGGUGAUUGGCUGAUGCUGUCUUUUUUGCCUCAGGAUUUGCGGCUCCCAGUCAUCACCGUGAGAGGAUAGCAGAGACUGUCGGUGCUCCGUUCUGUUGAGUUCUGGGUGAGGUGACGACCCAACUGUGGAUGCCAACUGAAGUUCUGGGAAAAAAUGAUAGAAUGUUCAAAAACAUCACAGACUUACAUUUCUAUGGAUCAUUAGAUGAAAAAAGACUAUUGAGGUGGCGAUGCAGUCGAUCGGCUCGGGUUUGCUUCCGUCUCUCCCUUUCACGUUGAGUCGUAAGAGUUCUUGUGCAAAUUCGUUGGCUGUGUCGGUCCUGCUGGUUGGAUAGCAAUUGGUGCCUCUUUUGCAUCAUCCCAUCACUGGUUUUCCAGAUCUCUCUUUGUUCUCAUGAGUGCUUGACGUAUCAGUGAGGACAACUGGUAGUAUCUAGCGUCCAUAAAAUGCUAGAAUAUGCCGGUGUAAACAACCAAGAGUUAAGUACAGGACUAGGAUGAUGUUUAAAGAACCGGGUCCAGAUGUGCGCACACAACAAUUGCAAACAUUCAGUGACAGGAGUUGAUGCAUCGUCGUAGAAAGAUUAUCCAGACCAGGAUGCACUUUUGUUGCAUGUACAUUCUACUGACAAUUUGUUUCAUGUUAUAGCAUGAACAGCUGUUUCGGUAGAGUACUUCCUGUAUUUUCCUUCUGUAUGGUUACAAUAUAAUCAGUACGUAUUCAAGGUUAAUUUACUUCUUCUGUUUUAAA